rnacentral:lncRNA from 1 species
AGUCCAUUUGCUUUAAGGCCUCAGACAGAAAGUCAACAGAGAGCUCAGUGCCAUUGGCGAAUGCCAGGCAUUUGUGGCAGCUGCUGAAAGCUCUGCACCACCCUCUGAAGGGCCACUUUUGAAGAUUUGGUUUUGCCCCACCUAUGUUCUUUCCUGCUCACCUUGUCAAUUUCCUGCACAGGAAGGAAGAAUUUAUUAACUGCCUUCUGGUAUUAAAUGGAGUGCUAAUGGGCCUGAUACUUUUUAACAGACUGGGAUUUUUAGAGACAUCAAUAAAACACUUCACCUAA